AGCAGCCGCGGUAAUUCCAGCUCCAAUAGCGUAUAUUAAAGUUGUUGCAGUUAAAAGCUCGUAGUUGAAUUUUAGGCCUGGCCGGGCGGUCCGUCUUUGGCGAGUACUGUCUUGUUGUCGGGUCUUCCUUCUGGUGAACUAGUAUGCCCUUUAUUGGGUGUGUUGGGGAGCCAAGACCAUUACCUUGAAAAAAUUAGAGUGUUUAAAGCGGGCUAUUGCUUGAAUAGAUUAGCAUGGAAUAAUAGAAUGGGACGUUUGUGGUUCUAUUUUGUUGGUUUCUAGGACCACCGUAAUGAUUAAUAGGGAUAGUUGGGGGCAUUAGUAUUCAAUUGUCAGAGGUGAAAUUCUUGGAUUUAUUGAAGACUAACUAUUGCGAAAGCAUUUGCCAAGGAUGUUUUCAUUAAUCAAGAACGAAAGUUAGGGGAUCGAAGACGAUCAGAUACCGUCGUAGUCUUAACCAUAAACUAUGCCGACUAGGAAUCGGGCGACGUUAUUUUCAUGACUCGCUCGGCGCCUUAUG
rnacentral:rRNA from 1 species